rnacentral:sRNA from 1 species
GGGACACCUGCAUCUGCCAACAAGACUGGAAGCAGAAAGGGACAGAGACGGCGAAGUUUGACGGUCUGGAAAGCAGAGACCAGCAGGGCUGACUGCUUGGGAGCACCAAAUAUCCGGACAGCGCCUCUCGGGAGGUCCGAGAAGAGAACCGCGAUCUGUUUCAGCACCGGGGCUCAGGACAGUUCCCAGCGGGCUCCGUUUCGUCUCCAGAACCCUGGACAGCUCCUCCAGAGACGGGGUUUCACCAUGUUGGCCAGGCUGGUCUCAAACUCUUGACCUCUUCAUCCGUCCACCUCAGCCUCCCAAAGUGCUAGGAUUACAGGCGUGAGUCACUGCGCCUGGCCCAAGUCCGGAAUUUUCAACAGCUUGGAAUGCACUCCCUCCACCUCCACCCAGAGCUCCCCACAACUGACCCUGCCUUCUUCUGCAAGCUCCAUUUCAUCAAGGGAAACGAUCCUUAUUGCCUCACCAUUUCCCACGUGAAGUCUGUAUUGACAUUCUCAUAGACCUGGGAUAUUGUGUCUGCAGCACACAGUCCAAUUAUUUUCAUGUUAUCUACUGACAGGUCUAUUUGUCUCCCUGUUACACUGUGAGCUCCGUGAGGGCAGAAACAAUGUUAGUAUUUUCACUGCUGUGUCCCCAGCGCCUGGUCCGGGGCCCGGCACACAGCAGGCAUAUAAUAAGCAUGUGUUGAAUCAAUAAAGGCAUCAAAGAAUAAACCAAUACAUCAAUCAAUAAA